rnacentral:rRNA from 1 species
CAGUAGCCACGGUAAUACGUAGGUGGCAAGCGUUGUCCGGAAUUAUUGGGCGUAAAGCGAGCGCAGGCGGUUAGAUAAGUCUGAAGUUAAAGGCUGUGGCUUAACCAUAGUACGCUUUGGAAACUGUUUAACUUGAGUGCAAGAGGGGAGAGUGGAAUUCCAUGUGUAGCGGUGAAAUGCGUAGAUAUAUGGAGGAACACCGGUGGCGAAAGCGGCUCUCUGGCUUGUAACUGACGCUGAGGCUCGAAAGCGUGGGGAGCAAACGGGAUUAGAUACCCCCGUAGUCCCUGUCUCUUAUACC